UUGCUACUCCCUUUGUCCCGAAUUACUUGUCGUACAAUUGUAUAGAAUUGGAUGUAUUUAGAACUAAACAUACAUCUAAAUAUAUCCAUUUUUGCCACAAGUAAUUCGGGACAAAGGGAGUACUAG
rfam:Triticum aestivum genome assembly, contig: Triticum_aestivum_CS42_TGACv1_scaffold_049522_1BS